rnacentral:tRNA from 1 species
GGCCUGGUAGCUCAGUUGGCUAGAGCGUUGGCUGAACUAAAGCCUUCCUCUUGCUGGCGUGAUUUCGAAUCCCACCGAGGCCA